GCGCCACUAGCUCAACGGCAGAGCAGCGGACUCUUAAUCCGUUGGUUGAAGGUUCAAAUCCUUCGUGGCGCACCA
rnacentral:tRNA from 1 species